rnacentral:rRNA from 1 species
UACGUAGGGACCGAGCGUUGUCCGGAAUCAUUGGGCGUAAAGAGCGUGUAGGCGGCUUGCUAAGUCUUGCGUGAAAUCUCGGGGCUCAACCCCGAGCGGUCGUGGGAAACUGGCAGGCUAGAGUGCGGGAGAGGAGAAUGGAAUUCCUGGUGUAGCGGUGAAAUGCGUAGAGAUCGGGAGGAACACCAGUGGCGAAGGCGGCCAUCUGGAUCAACACUGACGCUGAGGCACGAAAGCGUGGGGAGCAAACAGG